rnacentral:lncRNA from 1 species
CCUGACAUGAGUGAGUUAUAAAGCUGCCUGUCCUGAAGCCGGGGUAGGAAGUACCAGCAGCCACAGCCCUGCCCUCAGGGAAAAGCAGAGGACAAGCGAAAACUGGAAAACAAAUCUGCUGACCACUGGAGCCUGCUGCUGGCAGCGAGAAAAGCCUGUUCCUCCAAAGCUGCCUGCUGGCAUGGCGCCAGGCACAGAGGCGGGCAUGUGUUGUAACGGUCUGAGUGCAGUGACAGUGCCCAGGCUGAUCUGCGCGCUCUCUCGCCUAUCCCAGAAUAAGAGCAACCAGGCGGCCAAGCUCACGCCUGCUGGAGAAGGAAGCUUUGCCUGCUGUUGCACAGCACAGCAGCCAGCUGGUGUCCAGCCCAACACGGCUCCUUCAGGCUGCUAUCGCACUGCUGACUUGGAUGAGUCACAGCUGAUUUUUUUUUCUUGUUUUGCUUGUGAGAAAGACCUGUUUUACAUAUAAUACAGUAAUCAGGGCUUGACAUAAAUAGGCAAUUGUUAUUGUCUGCGGUGGGAAUUGCACCUGCUGGCAAGAGCAAUGAAUGCAGCCCAUUAUGCACUGGAGUUGAUCAUUUGUGCAAUGAAGUACAACUACAUUUCUUGCUGUGUCCUUGUGCAAGUCUUUAUCUCAGCGGCUGCAAGCACACCGACAGAUGUGCCAUCAUCACCUUUGCAGUCUGUCCUCGCCCUGUGAGAUGGAGCAGCCUCUGUUCCCUGCAGCUGUGGAGAUUCUCCAGAGGCAUAGAGAAGACCAAGAUGAUCAGCUCAGAGACUUUGCUGCUUUGUUGAUGGCUGUGUUAUAAAGCCGAGCAGCCUCGUCUCCAAGCACUGAAGCUGCACGUCACAGGCACUAGGGUCCUGCUCCCAGAGCCUGAAUUUACAGAGUGUAUGACUUGUUUAUGGAUCUAGCCACAGAAAACGUGACAGCAGUCUCACCGGCUGAGCAGGUAGGAGCAGUGGCUCUUCAGAGCAGAGGGACUUGUAAGACUGGCUUAGCUACCACCUGCCAGUGUUGUUGAUCCCAGUCUUCUGGCAUUAUAAGAUUUCUCUGAUAAUAAUAAAUAGACUUUGUCUCAUUG